GCCGCGAUCGCAUAACUCGGCAGUGCGCCGGUCUUGAAAACCGGUGUCCGAAAGGACUUGCAGGUUCAAAUCCUGCUCGCGGCG
rnacentral:tRNA from 1 species